CUUUAAGAGGUGAAGUCAUGAGCAAAAAGCACUCAAGAAUGGAAUUAGUACCCUUAUAAAAGGAAUACCAAGGAAACUGUUUGCUUCUUCUGCCCUCUUCCAUCCUGUGAAGGCACUAUUUUGGAAGCAGAGAGCACAUCUGCGCUAGACACUGAAACUGCUGGCGCCUUGAUCUUGAAUCUCCCAGCCUCCAAAACUAAAUAUGGAAUUCAAAAGGUCAUUAAGAAGAAAAGAAAUUCUCAAGUUCCUUCUGAAUUUCUAAUAACACGGGAAAUGAGGCUUCAGUGCUCAACAUGCCAACAUGCUUGGAAAUUCUUCAAUACCAUGACCUCUAAAAGCCCAGCUAAUUUAGUGAAAAGAGAAACAAGGGUCCUGCAUACCAAUGAAACUGCUGACAUCAGCUGAUCUGAAUGACCCAACAAAAAGCUUACAUACACAAAGAAUGCAGUUUUCACAUCCUAAUCAUUUCAUUCUCCUUACCCUGACCAAUCAAUGAUCCCAAUUUGCCAGUCCCAUACCCUCCACAAUUUUCUUAAAAACCCCAGAUCAGUAUAUUCCUUGGGGAGAUGGAUUUUGGUGUUUUCUGCCAUCUCCUUGCUUGGCUGUCCUGUGAUCUUUAAACACUUUUUCUGCUGCAACCCUGCUGUCUCAGUGUACGGAUAUGUUACUGUGCAGAGGGCAUAUGAAGCUGUUGGUCCUAUAAUAUUAUGAUGGCAUUAGUGGCCUUAUAAGAAUUAGAAGAGAAGCCAGGCACAUUCGCACGCACCUGUAGUCCCAGCUACUCAGGAGGCUGAGGCAGGAGGAUUGCUUGAGCCCAGGAGUUUAAGGCUGCAGUGUGCUUUGAUCAUUUCUUUGAGUAGCCACUGUACUCUAGCCUGAGCAACAUAGCAAGAUCCCAUCUCUAUCAAAGCAGGAAUUGGAAGAGAGAGAGAGAUAUAAAUUUUUUCUCUGCCUAUGCACACUCAUAGGAAAAGUCAUGUGAGGACAUAGCAAGAAGGCAGCUACCUGAAAUCAAGGAAGAGAGUGCUCACAAGAAUCCAAUCAUGCUGGCAGCCUGAUCUUGACACUGUAGACUCAAGAACAGUAAAGAAAAUAAAUAUUUCUGUUAUUGAAGCCACUUGGUUUAUGGUGUUUUAUUA
rnacentral:lncRNA from 1 species